rnacentral:rRNA from 1 species
GACGUAGGUGGCAAGCGUUGUCCGGAUUUACUGGGCGUAAAGAGCGCGCAGGCGGUCGUUCAAGUCGCGUGUGAAAGCCCCCGGCUCAACUGGGGAGGGUCACGCGAUACUGAUCGACUCGAAGGCAGGAGAGGGAAGUGGAAUUCCCGGUGUAGUGGUGAAAUGCGUAGAUAGUCGGGAGGAACACCAGUGGCGAAGGCGACUUCCUGGCCUGUUCUUGACGCUGAGGCGCGAAAGCUAGGGGAGCAAACGGG